rnacentral:rRNA from 1 species
UACGAAGGGGGCUAGCGUUGCUCGGAAUCACUGGGCGUAAAGGGUGCGUAGGCGGGUCUUUAAGUCAGGGGUGAAAUCCUGGAGCUCAACUCCAGAACUGCCUUUGAUACUGAAGAUCUUGAGUUCGGGAGAGGUGAGUGGAACUGCGAGUGUAGAGGUGAAAUUCGUAGAUAUUCGUCAAGAACACCAGUGGCGAAGGCGGCUCACUGGCCCGAUACUGACGCUGAGGCACGAAAGCGUGGGGAGCAAACAGG